UGAGGGCAGUACAUAAAAAAAACAAAACAAAAUGACUCAUUAUCACGCCACACAGUGAAAUUAUUGCAUAAGAUGAUGCAAAAUAUUUCUGGAACCAUCCUUCACAAUAAACAUCGGGGAUUCCAAAAGUUAAUAAUAGAAGCUAUGCAAUAGCAAAUAACAAUGGCACGUGUGAUGUAGGCAGCUAUAUCACUUGUUAGCUACUAUAACGUUAGUCAUCCAUCGGUUGUGUAAUAAACCGGUCAAUGUUUGUGGAACGGUUUAUAGUAAAAUUCUCUCUUAAUUCGUGCUGAUAAUAUUUGUAAAAAUGGUGAAAAAAGAAAUUUUAACAUUUUUAUUUUUUAUUAAUCUAAUUUACUCGACUUACUGUAAAGAAUUUCCAUGUGAUUUUGACAUUUGUGAUACAGAACACGACCAAUUCUGUAAUAUAAAGGAUAAAAGAUGUAACUAUUGUACAAUACAACAAUGUAUAACUGGUCUUAAAGAAUGUGAAGAGUUCUGUCAAAGUCAAAAGACUACUACUACUACUACUACUACGCCAGCUACAUCGUCACACAGUAUAUUUCUACCAUAUGCCAAGUCUAAUUCAUCUGGAUUAUGGUGGAAGGUAGUUUUAGUGAUUGGAUUUGUUGCUAUACUAGUUAUUUUAGGUUUUGUUGUGGAUAAUCAUCGGAGGUCACAUUGGAAUAAGAAACCGGGAGGUGAUAAUAAAGCAGAUGGGAAUGUGGUAGAAAAAAACCCACUUUUAAAUCACAGCGAGGACUCUGGAUUAGAUCAAAGUCCAGACGGAUCGAAUACAGCUAUUCCUACCAGACAGAAUAAGCCACCUGUAAACAUUGAGUUAAACAAUUUUACAAGAGGGGUAACAGCUAACCAACGUCAAGAUCAACUGUAUGACCAUGAUCAAGCCAAGCUGAUACCAGGGACAAAUAGAUCUAUCAACCCUCAACGACCGAUUAACGAACAGUAUCAACAACCACAUACAUCUCCAGAAAUAUGUACUGAAAAUAAUAAAUUAUAUAAAGAAAGUUUGGAUGCCGAUGGACUGUCUAUACAUAAAAAUGGAAAAUUAUUAAAUGAUUUUAGUGGUAUAUCUCAAAAUGAUCAAACAAAUUUAAAGCAUACAAUUUAGACUAAUGCUUUUAGAAAUAGUAAUUUGAAAUUGUAUGCCUGGACUAAAAGUAUUGUAUUGUAACUGCUGCAACUUUUUAAUAUCUUGUAAAAAGAAAUAUAAUAUGAGAGAAUGAAUUUUAUUUCAUGUACAUGUCUACUACAUAGAUCUGUUUCUUUUCAUACGUGGGUAAGACGUUGGCUCGCUAGUCUGGAGGUCGCUUGUUCGAUCCCUGCAUUGGCCGAGAAAGUUCAUCGAGAAUUUCCGGCGUGGUUCCACCUUGUCAGUGGUGCAGGACGGAGGGCCUGACAAGGACAGCUGUCUAGUCGUUCGGAUGGGAAGAAAACCCAGAGGUCCCGUGUAUACAUCGGUGUGCAUGUAAAAGAUCCCUUGACAGUUGGAAUUCGAUAUAAGAGUAGGCCAUAGUGCCGCUGUAUGGCGUAUGCCCUUCUUCAUUAGCCCCGUCGGAGCAGAACAGUAGGACGUUAAACCCCAUUUUAUUUUAUUUCAUUUGUUUUCAUACAAAUAGAAAUGAGAUCAAUCAUCAAAAAGAAAAUAUCAAAAACACCAAAUAUAACAAAAUAUCAUUUUGGACUCUCGUCUACUGCGUUAAAACUCAGUAUGGAACAAGACAAGAGAUACAUAUAAAAUGGAGUCAGCAGCAUGUGAAAUAAGAUCAGGCCCUCACAAAACAUUCUCACACUUAAGUUAAGAAUUUACUCAACUUUCAAUCACUGUUUAUGAGAAAUACCUUUGAUCCAGAAACACAAAACUUUGUACAUAGUUUCUUAUUGGAGUAUUUAAUACAUUAAAACAACAACAGUUUUAUAAAGGGCUAUAUUUUAAUUAAAAUAAGGCAAACAAUUUUGAGUAAAUUCUUAAGUCUCAGAAUGUUCGUACUUAAGUUUUAUUGAUGUCAUUUAUAUAUUUAUUUAUUUAUAUUCCAUUGAUGAGUUAGUGGAAAACGGGACAGAAGUGUCUGAUUCAAUGAAUCUCAACCUGUAAAAAUGUGGAUCCUACUUUUUGACCAUUGUAUUAAAUUAUUUAUCAUUAAAGAGCUAAUCGUACUUUCAGCUUUAAAUCAUGUACAUCAGGGUCGAAUUAAGCUUUCAUGGAGCCCCUGACUGAAUAUUUCACGAGGGAUCUUGCGUCAUCAGUAAAAAAGGGGAAUAUUCUAGUCACUGUUCGUCACACUCACACAAAUACAAUUUGUAUGUUAGAUAGAUUUAGUUGACCUUUACAUAUACAACAUAAUAAGGUACAAAUAUUGUUUUUAGAAAUAAUUAUGGGGCCCCUGGCUUCAGUCUAGGCGACCUUCGGUUAUCGUGAUUUCUUGACUAUGGUCGAACUAACUGAAUCCGAAUUUCAUUUAGUCCGGACCAUAGUCCGAAAAUACUGAACCAUGCUAUUGUGGCAUGGUCGGAGUAGUUCCAAGAUGGCGGUGUUGAUAAAACGAAAGUAGAAUAUGUAGAAAGAAUCUAUUUUUGUUAAGUAUAUGAUUUUAAGAAAUCUUGCAUGAAUUUUAAAUGGUUGCUACUUCUAUGAGCUGAUAUUUUUUGUCCCGUAUGUUAUGUCUGAAUCUAUGUAAGUCUAAAAAUUACGCAUUAUUUCAAUACUUUAAUUAUGCAAAAAGUAAAGUCCAGUUACAAGGAAUUUUGUGGUCUUAAAAUUAAUUUGAAUCGCGCAAAUUUAACUUCAUGAAAGUAUUAUUUGUUUAUUAAACUAUAUAACACAGCGAUUCAUUUUCCUCCAUGGAGAGAUGUAUAGACAUUCCUUGUGGGUUUUUUUAUGGGUUAUGGUCGAGGUCUAAAGCAGAGUAAAAUGACAUACCGAUGUCCCUGGGGGCAGCCAUCUUUGAACAGACGAUGGUCCGGACCAUUCGCGUUCGGUUUCUAGUUCCGACCACUAGUCGUGAAAAAAUUAUAACCGAAGGUCGCCCUUGUGAGAUCUUCCCUUAAUCUGACCAGGCCUAGAAUUAAUGGUUUUAGAUGUACAUGACAAAAUGUCAGGCACUAAUGAAAUAGUACCUGACAUUUUCAACUAAGUGCUGGACAUGGAUUAAUAAUAUCAAUAAAAAAGAUAAAUCGGUGCCGGACAAAAUGACAGGCACCAGUGUAGUUGUACCUGACAAAUCCUGAAUCUGUGCCUGACAUUGUCUGUGACCGGUGCCUUAUUUCCAGGCUUGAAUCUGACCCUGAGGUACUAUUCAUGAUAUCAUACACUGCUGUUUAUACAAUCAACAACUGUAAAUAACAUUAUUUAUAUUUUAGUAUUUAUUGAUGUUGUAUAUUUAAUAUGCUUAGGGUCAUACGGUCAAAAGCCGCUCAUAUGACCCCUGACGAGACCCCCCAUAACAACUGGUCAGAUCUUCAUGUAGUAGAGGCCAACGAAAGUAUAAAAAAACGAAACGAAAUAUAGAUCUGUAUUAUAAUCAGAUUGUGACAAGGAAACAUAUAAACUUAGACAUUUUUAUAUACAUAUCAAAAUUUAGAUUAUGAUCGAGGCCAGUUGAUGUUUCACUUUUUAUACCAUAUUUUAUAUACUUAAGAUUAGCAAGUUAUAUUUUACAAUACGACAAUUUUUAGUGUUAUCUUAAUGUUAAAAUAUAUUUUUAAGGUUGUUUACACGUAAGAACUAUAAAUUUGAGAAUAUUUAUGGUAUGAAUUGUUGAUAACGGUGAGAGUAUUAUGACCAGGUAGUUUUUAAUACAGCCAUUCACCCAAUAUUAAGGGUUAGACUUACACCAUAACUUAAACCCAAGAUGGAUUAUCUAAAGCGGUGGACACAUUAGCCGAAUCAGUCGGUCGAAAUCGUUCAGCCAAACAAAUCAGUGCCAUAUUUUAUUCGGCCGAAUGGGUGGACACACUAUAGGCGAAUGCUUCGCCCAUUCACCAGUCGACUGCAUCACCUUUCAUGUCACAUGAUUAUCUUCAAACAAUCAUGUGACUUCCCGAUAUGAGUGUAUGCACGUUGGUGAUUGGCUAAUGAAUUCUGCAUUCGGGCGAAUGCUUCAGCGAAGAGGACUCACUAGGCGAAUAUAAUUCGACCAAAUGUGGACACAUUAGGCAAAUUUUGUUGCCGAUUGAUUCGACUAGUCCACCGCUUAAAGUUAAUAAUGAUCAGCUAUGACAGAGAUUAGAGACAAUAGUAGUAAUGAGAUAAUCCAUCUAUAAACAUUACAUAAUGAUAAUCAAGGCCCCAAGUAGUCACCUCAGUAAAUGAAUGAAUGGAUGUCACUUAAAUAUUACCCUUUAAAAACUAUAAAAGAUUAUUAAGUUUAAAAUAUAUAUAAAGUAUUAUUUAUUGUUUAUUGUUACCAAGUAACCUCUUGUACAUUAGAGGAAAGGUUGUAGAUGAAUAGUAAUUGACCACAGGCAGGCAAAUAUGACCAAAAAAAGAGACCUGGGGUCAUGUUUAUGAAAAUUAAAACUAAAAAUACUUUAAUGGUGCAGUUUUUUCAUUGGUUGAGAAUUGAAAUCCUAGAACAAAUUUCAACUCUGGAAAAGCCCUCAUUCUUAAAAAUUUUCAUGAAUAAGGCCCCUGGUUUCACAUAUAAUGUGGGUUUGGACAAUGAAUCGGAAUAAUAUUUUAAAGCACUGAUUAGUACGAUAACUUAGGACAAAACAAUGACAUUCUGCGUGUUGGAUAGUUUCCAAUGGCACUAGUUUAAACAGUUUUAAACUUUCUAAUGGCACACUACGCAUGUUGGAUAGUUUCCAAUGGUUUAAACAGUUUUAAACUUUCUAAUGGCGCACUAGUUUAAACAGUUACUUUAAACUUUCUAGUGGCACCAAUUAUAUUUUCAUUUCUUCUGGUUCUUGAUAAACAGCAACUUGAAUCAUGUGAAAGAUGAUUGGUUUAAAAUUUCAAACCUUUAGAACUAAAAGCUUUUGAGCAACAUAACAAAGUACUAUUGGUUUUUAACUAAGUUUUUUUUCCCUGAAGAAGAAUAAGAUGGAAAAUUUUAACUGGUGUUCCUGAAGAACAGAAAAACAAUUAGGUGUGGCCUUACUUUAAAAUUUCUGAUAACCCUAAACCUUGUCCAUCUGAUGAUAAACCUUGUCCUGAUAACCCUAAACCUUGUCCAUCUGAUGAUAAACCUUGUCCUGAUAACCCUAAACCUUGUCCAUCUGAUGAUAAACCUUGUCCUGAUAACCCUAAAUCUUCCAAUGAUACUAAACCUUGUCCUGCUGAUGAUAAACUAUUAUUUUUAAAUGCUUGUGAUUUAUAUCAUUAAACUGUUUACCCAAGAGAUUCAAAUGUUAUUAAAUUAAAAUGUUAUCUUUUAGUAAACAGCAAUGAUAAAAUAUGUGAUAUACAUGUACAUAGAAAUAUAAAUGUUUUUAGUAAAUAAAGUAUUUAUUGAUUUUA